UAAAUAGGAUAAACAUUGUUUUCUUUUGUUCUGAAGUGAAAAUAUAGAUCAGACCCUUUUCUUCAGUUCACUGAGGUUUCCUCAAAUGGCUUGACACUACUGAGUUAACAAAGUUAGACUCUCCUCAAUUUUUUAAUGUAUUAAAAUAAAAGUCUCUUCCACUAAAACAUUCACUAGAAUUAUCAAAUCUUCACCAGUGAAGUGUAGUCAUUAGAUAGAUGGAUGGGUUUUUACUCCUCCUAUCAUUUUUAAUUGUCAUGGAAUUACAUUUAUCCUCCCUAAACCAGUACAAUGUAUGCUUUUCUUGGUUCAGUAGAAAGGGAUGCAUCCAAGGAAAGAUAAAUUAUUCCUUUAUCACCAAAACAUUUAUUAAAUGUCUAUAUUUUUAGGGGGCUGUGCUGAGUGCUAUAAAUGGGAAUUAAUUAGGCUAAAUUCCUGCCUCUAUCUCUAUUACAACAGAAGAUAGACAACAACGUUGCAGGAAUUUUAAGGCCAUUCAUUCAACAUGGGGGAUACGUUCAACAUGGGGAUGCAAACAGAUAAGUUUUUACCAUGAACAUUUGCAUCCUUGAGCACAGUAUAUUAGUGUACUGGGUGAAAAGGGUGAUGCAUGCCAUGUGAUUAAUUGCCUCUCACCAAACAUGGUAAGAAAGAUCCCUGCCAAAAUCCUAUGACUCGACAGAGUGCUGUCCAAAUGAGAGCAUGAUAAGAAGGGGUAGGCACAGUGGGUUUUUUUUUGAUCAUCCAUAUCCAAUCUCAGAAAUUACUAAAAGAAAGGGAUUUCCAGCUUGCAUCUGCUUUAUACAUUUUAAAAAUCCUUUAUAUGCUGUGGGGAAAAAUGUUAAACAAGGAAUAAACUAGUUAUAGGCAAACAUCACAGAGAGGCACACUAGAGUAAUGGAAACUUCUCAUACUCAUAGAAAUUUAAGCACAUGCUUAGAGAAUUAUACACAUUUUGUAUAUUACAUAUACUCAAUGCACUAACAUAUUAUUUACUCUACCUAUAUUCCCCAUCUCUACAUGGGAAGAUCUUAUUAAUCUUACCACAUCUCUCUCUCAAACUCAUUCCUUCUUCAUUUGUUUCAGGACAAUCAAAUUAACAUAAGUUGUGAAUCAUUUUGUUCUCGAUAAUUAUAAUAACCUCCUAGUCAUUUUUUUGAUUUUCCAUUAUUGUAUUUCAUACAAUAUUGCUUCUGAGGAAGAAACUCACUUCAAAGCAAAAAAAGUGCAAGAAUGGGCUCAUGCUCAUGGAUUUCACUGAUUUUACUAUGUACCCCACCAGUCUGAAGCAGUUGGCUUGAUAGAAUGAUGGAAUGUCCUUUUGAAGACUGAAUUACAGCACCAGCUAGGUAAUAAUAGCUUUCAGGGCUGGAGCAAGAUUCUCCAGAAGGCUCUGAUUCAGCCUCAUUAUAUGGUACUGUUUCUGUGAUAGCCAGGAUAUAUAGGUCUAGGAGUCAAGGAGUGGAAAUGGGAGUGGCAUCACUCACAAUUACCCUUGGUGACCCACUAGCAAAAUUUUGGUUCCUGUUUCUGCAGCUUUAAGUUCUGUCAGCCUAAAGGUCUUAGUUCCACAGAAACAAAUGCUUCUACCAGGAGACACAACAAUGAUUUCAUUGUAUUGGAAGUUAAGACUGCCACCUCGCCAUUUUGGGUUCCUCAUGCCUUUGAGUCAACAGGCAAGAAGAAAGUUGUGGUGUUGGCUGGGAUUAUUAAUCCUGACCAUGAAGGGGAAAUUGAACUAAUCCUCCUCAAUAAAGGUAAGGAAGGGUAUGUCUGAAAUCCAGGAGAUUUCUUAGUGUGUCUCUUAGUAUUAUCAUACCCUACAAUUAAAGUCAAUGGAAAACUGUGACAAUCCAAUUCUGGCAGAACUACAAAUGGCCCAGACCUUUCAGGAAUGAAGGGUUAAGUCACCCUAUCAGGUGAAGAACCAUCAACAGGUAAAGAACCAAAAUACAUAUAUUUUUCUCCUUGGCGGUAGAAAAAAGAUACCCCUUUGAACAUGAUUUUCUUUGAACAUUCAUUAAGUAUCAGUGUAUUACAAACCAAAAUAUUCCUUAGCCUUUAUUUAUUUCAUUUGGCAUCUAACCUCAUAAACUAUGGUUUGACAGAUGAUCCAACCAAAUUAUUGUACAUUUUAGUUAAAUAUUUUAGGAUAAUGGUUCAUAAAAUAAUCAUUGGGAUCAACUACUCUGAGCUGAGCAUCUAAAAAGUCUUGGUACAAAAGUUCUAAGCGAUCAUAUCCAUUCUGCACCUUAGGGGAAGUAAUCACAAAUUUAUUUUGGUAAUGUCUAUGUUAAUCAGUAUUUUUACUUUCCUGCUAUUCAGAAGACUGAAUAUUAAUAAACAUAAAUAUUUGUGAUUGUUAGAACCAAAUGCAAAAUGAAGCAAUGUUGUUUCUACAUUUUUAUGUUGAAAAUAAACCAGAUUUAAUUUUUACCCUACAUGGGAUAGGAGAGAAUACACAAAUCAAUUUCAUUCUGAAAUGAGACAAAGAGAUUCUGGCAUUUGUUAGGACUGUCUAAAAGGAGAAAAAAAAAAUAAAAAAAAACUAGAUAUUUGCUUUAAUGGGAUAAUACUGUGUUUUCAUAGGUACCACAAAGCUAUUUCCAUAGCUUUCAGUGGGGGCAUAUUGUUUUAAUCGCUUCUAUAGUGACUGCUAUGGUUUUGUCUUGGUUCACUCACAUUAAGUUGCCGAAUCCCUAUUUGUGUACAUAGACUUGCAUUUAUAAAUAUAUGCCUGGUGUCUGUUAGUGACCUUCCACUGACCAACUCUGCACAAAUAUCUCUUAUCUGAACAUUUAGAGCAAAGUUUGGUAAACAGUGCAAAAUUCAGGAGAGAAGACAUAAAUCAAAACUAAAAUAAUAAGUUCAAAGCCUUGAACUCUUGCAAUAUAUUGUUUUUCAAUCUUGGGAGUCAUUGAAAUGAUUACAGAGACCCAAACUAUUUGAAAUGCAUGUCUAAAAUCUAACCGGGAUGCAACCACAUUUGAGUAAAAGGCUAUUAAAAUGAUGAAGUCAUUAUAUUGUAUCCAAGGAUAAAAGACAUUGUAAAUAUUUAGUCUUUCACAGUCACAAACCACUUAAAUGAAUGAAUAUAGUCUAUUCAAUGGUUUCUGGUUCUAAUUGCCGCCAGGAAAUGUCAAAUUCACAUGCUGUCCCAGAACAUAAGAUUUAGCUUUUGAAUUUUUAAUUUAGCUAAAAGAUGUGUAAAAGCACACAGUCAUUCAGAUCUCUAUAGGCUCCAAAUCUGUGUAAGAUUAUAUACAAAUAAUGUUUAAGCUAGCAUUGGCAAUCACAUUGGCUAACUAACUUUAAUGUAAUUAAUUGUAUUUUUGUUUUUUAUUUUUUUUUAGGGAGAAACAAAAAUAAUGAAGGAUGAAAAUUUGGAGAGGCACUAUUUUCAGUAAUAGUCUUACAAAUGAGUAAUAGCCAUUGGCAGUGGAGCAAGAUGGUGGAACAGAAGCCUACAACCUUUAUCCCCCUGUAGGAACACAAAAUUUUAACAACUAUCUAAACAGAGGAAAGCAGAGUCACAAGAACUAAGAAUCAGACUGAUGCUCAUGGCUAUCUAAAGCCAUCCUCAUCAGCAGAGGAUCAAAACAAAUUGUAUCAGUACAGAAGGGAGGCACACCACAAAACUAAACCCCAUUUUUGACAGGCUUAUUUACUGCAAAAUAGGAUGAAAAUGUAAGUAUUACCACUUAUAAUUAUGCUAUGCAGUCAGGUUUUGUCUUCCCUUUUUAAAAAUGCAUACAUGUAUUGUGGAAGAGAUGUUGGAUAAGACCAGUUUAUUCACUCAAGAAAAAAAAAGAAAUCUUUGUAUGCUCUCACACAAGGUGUACACAUAGGAUGGGCACUAGCUUUUGAUAUUCCCACCUGGAUCUGGUUUGAAAUUGAGAAAGAAAAGGGCCAAAUGCAGAAGUAAAUACAUCAAGACUUAGUCUUUCCUAAAACACAUUUUGCGUUACAGGCAUAACCCCAUAAUGAAAUACAUUUUAUUUGGGCUUGAUUUUCUUAAGAGCCACCUACUGCAAUUGUGUGAUGUCAUGUUGUCUAUGAAGUCUAUCUUGGAACACAAUCUACACUAAUUUGGAUCUGUAUUAUAAAAGCUAAGCACAUCUGAAGGUGGGUUUGUGAAAAGACAUACCUUGCAUUGUCAUGUGCAUAGCAAAGUGUGUUUUCUGUUUCGAAUUGCAACUUUGGAAUCAAAUUUGUUUUCAGUAGUUUUGUGUAGACAUGAGUAGACAUGAGCAUAUAGCAGAAUCCAUUGACUGAAUUCUAGGAGCAUGAGUUGUUUGAUUUUAUUUGCAACAUCUAUAGGGAAACUACUUAUGAAAGUUGCAUUGUCAAAUAAAUAGUAGUAUAAUGGCUAAUAUUUAUUCAGUUUAUUUCUACAAUGGUACUAUUAUCAAUCAUCUUUAUUACAUAGAUGAAGAAAUGUAGGUUUAGAAGGUUAUGUGACCUUCCUGAACUCAUAAACCUGUUAAAUGAUAUUAUCAGGAUUUAGAUCAAGUUCUCUCUGACCCUGAAGUCCAAGUUCUUCAUCAAGAUCUAUGCAUGAACUUGAGAAAACACAUUCUAAUAUUCUGCAAGAAAUAAAUCUAAAAUUGAUUAGAAAAAGAGAGAUGAGGCAUGAGAUUCAGUUAAUUCAAUUUGUUAGAGCAUAUUAAUAAAAAAUGUUUUCUGUUAUGCUCUCCCACAUUGGGAAGUCAUUUUUAUCCAUAAGCCUGAGUCAGUGUGCAAACCAAACCCAGAAAGCUGACCUGCAAAUAUUAUACAAGAUGCUGCCUUCAAGUGGGACCUAGUAACAUAGUUUGUGGUUCAGCAUGAAAUAUCACCUUUGUCAAAAUCUCACACACACUUCAGUAUUAUAAUCCCAGUGGUAACAAUAUCCCAACUUUAUAGCUUUGUGUCUCAACAAUAGCUUGUUUAAAGAAAUAAUAAUUUUGCAAAUUAAAGAAAUACUUUAAACUUUUAGUGUUAAAUACGAAGUCUAUGUUUAGGGAUAUCAUUGAGUACAGAGCCGUCAGGAGUGAGAAUACUUGGGUUUCAAUACAUGUUGAUCAGAAAUAACAGUUUUUUAAUCUUUGAAAAACAGUUUACUCAAUAAAAUGUUUAAAUGAUGUGUAUGACGAAUGCAGGUAAAAACUGAACGAUUACAUUAUUUAAUUGUUUUCCAAUAUCUCAAUUAAAUUCCUAUGAAAAUAAAAUGGGCUUUGAUUAAAAUUUCGAUGGACCAAAUUAAUCACUACUUUAUUGGUUGAGAAGAUGCACUCAUAUUCAUUAUUCACUCAACCUGUCUUAAUUUGGUAUGAACUGCACCCUGGCCUUGUGCUGGGUGUUAAGUACAUAAUGAUAUGCAGAAGACAGACAUUCCAUUAGGGAAUUUACAGUCUAGAAGGAGCCAGACAGAAGAAUCACUAUAUCCUGACAAAUAAGAAACUUCAUAUGUCCCAUGUUGACAACUUGAAAGCUUAUAACGUAGUAGGGAAAAUGAGAUAGGAUGCAAACAGAGAGGUGGGUAAUGAUGGAUCAUACAUAGUUUAUAAAGAAAAUAAAAAGCCUUUAUUCUUUAAAUUGAGAGCAAAAGAAAGUCAGUGCAUGUCAUUAACCAGAGAUUGAUGUAAUCCAAUUUAUGUUAAAUUUUGGUUCUCUCUUGUUGCCACGUGCAGAAUGAAAUGUAGGAGGGAUGGGUAAGAAGGGAGAUCAGAACUAGGACAUUGCAAUGUCCCAAUAGAGAGCAUCAGUAGUAAUAUGGUAGAUGAUUGUGGCUCAAAUAGGGUUGUUUCUGGUGCAAAUGAAGGUAGUGAAAUAUGAGAGGUUAAACGGUCACAGCACAGAGAUCAGUCAUGAGGGGAAGAAGGAUAAACUGAAAUGAGUAUGAGUUAUAUGGCAAGGAGAAAUUGCUAAGGACAACAUUUAAGUUACUAGAUUGUGCAACUGGCUGUGCAGUGGUACCAUUUAUUGAUAUUAAAAAAUAUCUGAAAAAUGACAAAGCUUAAGGAAGAGAAACUAUAAGUUUGGUUUUUAAAUUGCAUUUGAAUUGGCUUUUGCAUUGUUUGAUUGAAUCUCUAAAGUGCAGUGGACCUGCCUUUGAAACAUUUAAGUGAAGAUAUUGACUAAGCUGUUGCAUACAUUGAUGUAGAUCUCUAAAAUGAGUUCUGGAAUACUGACUAACAUGGAUGAACCUCCUAUAAAAAAUAAAGUAAAAAUUAACUUGGUGCUAUGUGAAAUCCUAUUAUAUCCAGGAAAGUCAUUCUAGAAAAGUUAAAAAAAAAAAAAAAAAAAAAACUUGUUAAUACUUAUCACUUGGUUUAAAACUCAUUACAGAAAGCAGGAAAAUAUGAAUAUGUUGGGGAAAAUUAACAUAAAGAGUCUCUUUAUAUAAAAGUGAAAAACAUUUUAGAGCCAAUGCCAUGCACACAGAAGUGUAAGUACACUCAAAGGAAUUUUUUUUUUCCUUACUUUUUUGAGUUGUGUAGGCUUGAGUAUAUACUGAUAUAACAUGCCUCAUUUAGAUAUGUAUUUUUAUCACACCUAUAAAUAUUAACUAUAUAUAGUGCACAUGAAAAUGAAAUGCUAAUAAAUUUAUAAAAGUAUAACAUGCUACUAAAGAUAACCAUUUUCCAAACACUGCAUAGUCCCAAAUUAUUCUCUGAAAAUUUCCCAUUGUUUUUUAAAAAAGUAGAAACAGAACCAAUAAGACAGUAGUGAAUAUUUUAGUAACACAGAAUGCCUAGUUAAACAGAAUUUGUAUUUUAAAGAUUUAUACUUGAGCUUUUGUAGUGUUUUCAGAAUUAAUGUCCCAAACUAAUAAACUCAGAUGGCUACAGAUAACCCCAAACUAACCACCUGCCUCCACUUACCCAUUUGCUUUUUUUCUUAUAAUACAAACAUAAUAAGGUAUCAGACAUAACUUGCAAGUUAAUGCAAGUAGAUGACAUAUGAUCUGUUAAGCUUGGGAAAAAAAGGAGAAAAAUAAAACUGUUAAAGAAGUAAGGCCUCAUUUGAAGAAGGCAGAAAAGGAGAAAGACCAUUGAUAAAAGCAAAGUAAGGCACCUGGAGGACAUGUUUGAUAAAAAGUAAAAUAAAGUGGAAGGGAAUGAGUUCAAAAGAUUGUCAAGGAUAUCAUCACUAGGAAAGGAAGAAAAAGGAGAGCCACAGUAAUAGUAAGUACCCCUCCCUGCAGUAAAAGAAGCACCAUGUCUUUGGAAAAACUCAACUAGAGAUACAGUCUAGUGAACUUACCGGACUACAAAAAUAAAGUCCUUCAGAUAUUCAAGCAAAAAUGUCAAUUCCCUUACUCUAUCAGUCAGCAAAUAUUUGUUGACUGCUUACUCUGUGUUAGUCAUUAUUCCAGUUGUUGUGGAAAGAAUGGUGAACAGAACAGAUAAAAGACCAUGUUCUCAUGGCGCUUAUGCAGAAAAAAAUAUCAGAUUGGCUCCCAAGCCUCUUAUUAGUCAUUAUUAAUGCCUGAAAUCUGUGGAUCAAUGCCUGAAAUGACUUUGGAAAAUAAAAUAUGCCUAAACAGCUCUAUACCCAGCUAAACUGCCCUUCAAUAUAAGGAAAACAAACAAUUUUGAACAUGCAAGUAUUCAUACAAUAUUGUUUCUAUUAACCAUUGUUGAAGAAACUAUUGGUAGAUGUAGUCCAUCCAAAUAAGAAACGAAUAGAGAAACUAAGGCAAAGGGGCUGGUGGCAUAGCAUUGAAACCAACCACAAAUGGCUGGGAAUAAAGCAAAUAUGGUGAUUAUUGUAGAAAAUAGAACAUAGAAUAUUUAAACCCUCGUUGAGGAAA